CCUCCACCCAUCCUCUUGAUCUCAUCAAGGUUCGCAUGCAACUUCAAGGUGAAUCCCACCUCCCCAAUCCAGCUUCCCUUCAAGCCCUCCGUCCUGCAAUCGCCUUCAACACGGUUGCUGCAGGUGCCGGCAAUAUUUCACUACCUGUAGAAAUUGCUCCUCCACCUGCUCGUGUUGGACCCAUUUCUAUUGGUGUUCGUAUCAUUCAAUCUGAAGGUGCUGCAGCCCUUUUCACUGGUGUAUCUGCCACUAUACUUCGCCAGACCUUGUACUCAACCACCCGUAUGGGUCUUUACGAUGUUCUCAAACACAAGUGGACAGAUCAAGACACCGGAAGCAUGCCUCUUCCACGCAAGAUUCUUGCCGGCCUUAUCUCCGGCGGUAUCGGAGCCGCCGUUGGGAACCCCGCUGACGUGGCUAUGGUCCGAAUGCAGGCUGAUGGACGUCUCCCAAUUGACCAACGUCGCAACUACAAGAGUGUGUUUGAUGCUCUAACUCAAAUGUCAAAGCAAGAAGGAAUUGCUAGCCUCUGGCGUGGCUCAAGUCUUACAGUGAACCGUGCAAUGAUCGUCACUGCAUCACAGCUCGCAACCUAUGAUCAGAUCAAGGAGAUGAUAUUGGAGAAGGGUGUGAUGAGUGAUGGAAUAGGGACCCAUGUGACGGCGAGCUUCGCAGCUGGGUUUGUGGCAUCGGUGGCUUCAAACCCUAUAGAUGUGAUAAAGACUAGGGUUAUGAACAUGAAGGUGGAGACAGGGGGGGAGCCGCCAUACAAGGGUGCAUUAGACUGUGCAAUGAAGACAGUGAAGGCGGAGGGUCCAAUGGCUUUGUAUAAGGGAUUUAUCCCUACAAUCUCAAGGCAAGGACCUUUCACUGUGGUGCUGUUUGUCACGCUAGAGCAGGUCAGGAAGCUGCUCAAAGAUUUCUAAUUCAAGUGAUGGUGAUCGAUGAGGGAAAUCAAAAUGCCAUAUAUAGAUAGAAAUAUGUGAAUUUUUCAGCUUCACUAUCGGGAGAAUUAUUCUUUAAUUCUUUUUGUUAGAAUUUGGAAAGGCCACUAUUAUUCCAUUACUGUAAAGAAGAAUUGAAUUUUUGAUAUAAAUUAAUUAUUACUUGAUCUCACAUUUCCAUUUGUCUAUCUUCAUAUAUAAUUGCAGAAUUCACCGCAAAUGUAAAAAAAUUCAAUUAAUCAAGGUGUUGUUCUCCUAAUGGCAUGGCUCACAGUCACAAAAUUAAAAAGAGAUUAAACCCAUCAAAAUACAUAAUCACAUCAAUAUAGAAUGCUUGUAUGAAUAUUGCUGGAGUUUUGACCUUCUUGAGUUUUGACAUCCUGCAGCUGCAUUAUAAGAGUAACAAUCACUUUUAUUUUUUUUGACAAUAACCUUACCAUAAAUUACAAGUAAAUAUUUUAUACUUCGUCCUUUUCUUUGAUACUGGUUUUUCUACGGCCACCCUUGUCUUUUCAAGAAGGGUUGACUUCUGUCACCUUGUUAUAUGUUUUUAAAUUUUUUUUAUUAUUAUUGUUUUACAUGUUGUGCUUCUUCAGUUUUUUCAUGCCUUAUUGUUGACAGAUUUAAGAGAGGAUUAACUUUUUGGGAAUGGUGAAACUCUUGGAGUCGUAUUCCGAACAUGAAUAAUGCAAUCAGUAACCCUCAAGGCCUUGGGUGCCAUAGAACUCUGGCUACUGCCCUUAGUUGGUUUGAAGCUUCGAUGCUUCUGGCCUUCAAUCAGUCUGUGCUUUAGUUUUAUUGGUUCUGGCUGUUGCCCUCAGUUGAUUUGAAGCUUCGACUUUGGUCUGGCCUUCAAUCAAUCUUUGCUUCAGUUUUAUUAGUUUUCUUGAUAAGACGCUCCAUGGCUCUUUCUACAAGUUGCAUUUGUUGUCGGGUCUCUCAACUUUUUAAGUUUUAAGGAUUUGAUGACCUUUUAGGUUUUAAGAAACCUUAUUUUAUUUUCUAUUAAAAACUACGGUUUUAAAUGAGUUGGAUUAAAAUUUUAAUUUUAAUUUUUUUCUUUAUAUUAUUAUAAAUGAUUAAAACGUAAAUACGAAUAUAAUUCAAUCAUUUGUAGUUAGAGAUUAGAAAAAAAUCUCCUCAGAUUCAAUAUGAAAACAUUUAGAGUACAUGUAUUACGCUCAAUUCAUAGAGAUUUAGAAAGCUGCUCUUAGAAUUUCAAGCUUUUACUUGAGCAGUAUAAAUUGAUAGUUUUUUAGGGACCAUUUUAAAAUUUCUAUCCAUAAAUUUUCUUUAAAAACAAAGUGACGUGCAAAGCGCACUAAUAUAUUUUAAAAUUUAAGCAAUGAUAUCUUUACGGUCAUAGUAAAAUUAUUAUUUUAAUAUUAUUAAGAUAACAGUUUGAUAAUAAUUUAAAAAUAUUUAAAAAAUUUAUUUUUUUAUUAUAUUUAAUAAUAAAUUUUAAUAAAAAAUUAUUUUAUAUUUAAUAAAAUCAUAAUUUUUACUAUAUUUUAUAUUUACAGUAAAAAAAUAUGUUUAAAGCUGAUUUAUAUUUAAUAGUGAUAUAUUUCAAAUUGUUGUUAUUAAUUUAUAAUUAUAUUUAAAAUAUACAAUAUUACUAUUUUAAAUUUAUUUUUAUAGUAGUGGUUUUUUUGCAUACUCCACCUUCCUCUACUAUUUAUAAAAAUUUAUAAAAAAUAAUAUAUAUUUAAAAAAAUAGAGUAAAAAAUUAAUGAAUCACUGUACAUGAUACAUUUAUAGAAAAUAUUUCUCUAAAACUGUUUCAUGUAGACUGAAUAUAAUAAUUACAGUGGAAUUUUUCCGAUAUUAUAAAGUUUUGAUUUCAAAAUCUGUCACAUCAAGUCAACGGUUUAAUUAUUAGUAACGUUGAUAAAAAAAAAAGUAUUAAUAACUGAAUUUUUUUAGAAGUUAUUAAUAACUGAAAAAUACUUAAUCUCAUAAUAUAACAUAUGAUUAAUCACAACUGCCCAUACGAUCAUCAAGGUAAAGGAGGGCAGACGAAAAAUAAAAAAUUAAAAAAGAAGAAUGGGUCAGUCAGUGGAACCCACUAACAUGUGAGUGAGCCAUAUGGUUGUUACACAGUUGGCCAGUUCAACAGUUCAAACUAGGAAGACCAAGAAUGGUCACAGACAACAGCACCAAUAGCGCAGAUAUAUAGAGUCAAAUGCAAUACCGUGUAUAAUUGAUCAGUCGAAUAGCACAAAGAAUUUUCUUCGAAUUUUCUCCAUAUAGAUAACGUGUGGACCAUCCUACACUCCCUCUCGGCCUCUCUAUAUAAACGCCUAAUUCUCUGCUCACUCUUCAUCUUCAUCACCAUUUCUAUUGUCUGCCUCUUCACUUCACUCAGCUUCUCUCUCGCUGAUCAGUUUUGAUUUCUUCAGUUUUCGAUCCAUAAUUAAUAAUGGGUUUGAAGGGUUUUGUUGAAGGUGGUAUUGCCUCCAUCGUCGCUGGUGCCUCCACCCAUCCUCUUGAUCUCAUCAAGGUUCGCAUGCAACUUCAAGGUGAAUCCCACCUCCCCAAUCCAGCCUCCCUUCAAGCCCUCCGUCCUGCCAUCGCCUUCAACACGGUUGCUGCUGGUGCCGGCAAUAUUUCACUACCUGUAGAAAUUGCUCCUCCACCUGCUCGUGUUGGACCCAUUUCUAUCGGUGUUCGUAUCAUUCAAUCUGAAGGUGCUGCAGCCCUUUUCUCUGGUGUAUCUGCCACUAUACUUCGCCAGACCUUGUACUCAACCACCCGUAUGGGUCUUUACGAUGUUCUUAAACACAAGUGGACAGAUCAAGACACCGGAACCAUGCCUCUUCCACGCAAGAUUCUUGCCGGCCUUAUCUCCGGCGGUAUCGGAGCCGACGUUGGGAACCCCGCUGACGUGGCUAUGGUCCGAAUGCAGGCUGAUGGACGUCUCCCAAUUGACCAACGUCGCAACUACAAGAGUGUGUUUGAUGCUCUGACUCAAAUGUCAAAGCAAGAAGGAAUUGCUAGCCUCUGGCGUGGCUCAAGUCUAACAGUGAACCGUGCGAUGAUCGUCACUGCAUCACAGCUCGCAUCCUAUGAUCAGAUCAAGGAGAUGAUAUUGGAGAAGGGUGUGAUGAGUGAUGGAAUAGGGACCCAUGUGACGGCGAGCUUCGCAGCUGGGUUUGUGGCAUCGGUGGCUUCAAACCCUAUAGAUGUGAUAAAGACUAGGGUUAUGAACAUGAAGGUGGAGACAGGGGCGGAGCCGCCAUACAAGGGUGCAUUAGACUGUGCAAUGAAGACAGUGAGGGCGGAGGGUCCAAUGGCUUUGUAUAAGGGAUUUAUCCCUACAAUCUCAAGGCAAGGACCUUUCACUGUGGUGCUGUUUGUCACGCUAGAGCAGGUCAGGAAACUGCUCAAAGAUUUCUAACUCAUGUGAUGAUGAUCGAUGAGGAAAAUCAAACGCCAUUACAUAUAGCUAGAAAGCUGUGAAUUUUUCAGCUUCAUUGCUGAGAAUUAUUCUUUAAUUUUUUUAAUGGGACUCUUUGUAUCUGUCAAAUUGCAGUUAAAUUGGCAAUUCCACAGUUUUAGGAAGAUAGAUUCCUGCAUUUAACAUUUUAUUUAUAAAAAAAAAAUUAAAAAUAAUUUUUUUAAAGUAUAUAAAAAAUAAUUAAUAAUUAUAAAAAAAUUAUAUAAAAUGACAGCUAGACAUUUUUUAAAAUAAUUAAUAAUUAAAAUUAUUUUAUUUUUUUAAAAUUAAAUGUAUAUAAAAACAAAAAAUAUAUAUAUUUUAAAGAAAAAUUUUUUAAUAUUUAAAAUAUUCAUUGACUAAUUUUCUAAAUGCCUCAAAUAUUAAAAAAAUAUGAAAAAUAUUUUUAGUUAAAAUAUAAAAAAUAUUUAACUAAAAAUAUUUUGUAUAAAAAAGUAGAGUCUAAAAUAUAUAAUUUUUUUAUAUUUUUUAACAUAUCUACCUUUUAAAAUUUUCAUAAAUAUGAUAUUUUAAAAUCUCAACGUGGUUUUACUAUCAUUAAAAUUUUAAAUUUUUUUAACUCACAAUUUAAUAAAAUAAUUAAUAAAAAUUUCAAAAAUAUAUAAUUUCAUUAAAAUAAUUUUAUGUAAUUUUUUUAAAUAAUUAUUUGUUUAAACAUUUUUUAUUUAAAAAUAAAAAAAAUUUUAAAAUAAUAAAUUAUUAUUUUUAACAAUAAUUUUAAUUAGUAAUUAUUUUUUUUAUAUACUUUAAAAAAAUUAUUUUUAAUUUUUUUUUAAAAAUAUUUUUUUAUAAAAUUGACAUAUUCAAUAAUUAAAGCGUUAAACAUACCGAUUUCCACCGCUAGAUUAUCAAACUGUGCAGUUCCACAGCAUGAGUGAUGAAUAAAAAUUCAAAAUGCCUUGGAAGAUCAAACGUGAAUUUCAAUUUCUUUUUUUUUUCUUGUGCGUGUUUUGAAAAAAAAAUAGCUCUACCAAAGCAGUAAACUCAGCAAGCACAAAGGUACACAGGCCAAGUCGAAUCAUGAAUCCAGCUGCCCAACGACCGCGGCUAUUCCGGAGUAGCCCACCUCCUCCUCCACGACCUGGAUUCCCCUGCAAGCUGCGACGCUCCAUCUGUGUUGAGUUUUAACCACCUAUCUCGCGGUGGAACCCAUGAAACAGCCACCAAAGUUCGUUGUUUUUGCACCUUAUUCAUUCCUUUCCAGACCUUAUAAUUCAUGCAGUAUUCCCUACGUAAAAUGGCUAUCUUUGAAGUUAACGUUAAUAUUUCUCCCUCAAACACAUAAUUAUUUCUCCACUGCCACAAAAACCAUAACGUAAUACAAAGACACUGUACAGCCUGAUACUCACUCCUUUCUCUACAUAUCAGUUCUUCACAAUGUAACCAGUCCUGAAUUCCCAUGUUAUAAAAUUUGGUUAAAGAGUUGGCCUCCCAUACAUUUCCUAGACUUGUCGAGCAGCCCAACAAUAAAGAUAUGUAGGUAACUUUCAUAUAUUUUUUACUUAUAAUUUAAAUUAAUUUUAUAUUUUUAGUAAAUUUAGUAAAUAAAAAUAAAUAUUUAAUAUUUAAUUAUUUUAUUCAUAAAAAUUAAAAAAUUUAAUUUCAUUGACUCAUUGAAGAUGUGAUAUAGUGAUUCUAUCAUAUGAAAGGUAAAUACGUAGAAAAAUUAUAAAUUUUUGUUUAUAAAUAUAUCAUAUUUUUUGUGCUUAAUUUUAAUUUAUUAUAAUUUUAAAAAGUAAAAAGAUAAAUAUUGAAUUUAAAUGUUUAUUUUAUUUAUUAUCAGCAAAUGAGACUUUCUGUAUAUAUUAAUAUUUACUGGGACGGAAAUAUUAUAAGUACGUUUUCAUGGAUAUGAUUAUGGUGGAAGUUUUUCAAAUGUUGUUCUAAUAAGUAAAAGGAUAAGUUUUAAUCAAACAGUAAAAAAAAUUGCAUAUACUAAUAUUUACUGGAACGAAAAUAUUAUAAGUAAUUCUGAUGGAUAUGAUUAUGAUGGAGGUUUUUCAAAGGUUGUUCCAAUAAGUAAAAGGAUAAAUUUUAAUUAAGCAAUCGAAAAAAUUGCAUAUACUAAUAUUUAUUGGGACGAAAAUAUUAUAAGUAGUUUUCAUGGAUAUGAUUAUGAUGGAGGGUUUUCAAAGGUUUUCCAAUAAGUGAAAGGAUAAGUUUUAAUCAAGCAGUCGAAAAAAUUGCUUGUGCAGUUGAAUUAGUCGAGAAUAAUGAAUAUAUAGAGAUAAUUAAUUUUAAAAAACCUAUAAUUUUGGAUGGAUCAUUAAAAUUUAAGUAUAUGGACACUACAAGAAUUUUAAAAAUUACCAACAGAAAUUUCCAUUGGUAAACAUUGAUAUUCCGUUAGUGAAAAAUUUCACUAACGGAUCUGUGACGGAUUCAUUCCGUUGGGAAAAUUCUCGUUGGUAAAUUAUUCACUAACGGAAUUUGUAUCCGUUAGUGACACUAACGAAUCACCAACGGAAAUGUCCGUUGGUGACACUAACGGAAUGCAAUUCCGUUGGUAAUACUAACGGAUUUUGCAUUAGUAAUCCGUUAGUGAAUAAAAAAUGGCGUUGUUUUCCUUUGCAAUGGACAUGGAUCUGUUAGUGACACCAACGGAAAUUCUAUUGGUAAUCCGUUGGUAAAUCAUAAAAUUGCAAAAUCAUCCAUAUAUUUUCAUACAUUAUGUACUUGUACCCUGUACAUUCAUAUACAUCCAUCAUCAUCCAUCAUCAUCCUGGACAUUAAUAAUACUAUAAACGUAAAAAAUCAAAUUACUCAUUAAAAUAUAUUUAAAACUUAAAAAAUUUGUACUACAAUUAUAAUUUGAAAUAAAAAUUAUCAACUGGUCAUAACAAAAGAUACAUACUAAACUAAACUAGCAAACUCAUCAUCUGUAUCAUCAUCAUCACUAUCUGUAUGAUGAUCACCAAUGACAGGGGCAUCAUCAUGCCGCUGCUGUGGAGACGGAGCUGGAGGUGCCCUAGGAGCAGAUGUCUGAGUGGAUGUCCCAAUACUCUGUUGUGCCAUCAUCCUAUGCAUAAACGUCUGCAACUCGUCCAACACUGUGCUAAUUCAACCAUUCUCUGUCUCUAGCCGAUCAAUUUUAUUCUGCAUCUUGUUCAUUGCUUCAAUUGUAGGAGGAUCCACUGGGGGUGCAGACGUGUAUGAAGCGGAACAAUGAGAUGGCUCAUGAAAAUAUGCUAAAGCCUAGGACCCUAAUCUAUAAACUCGACUCUUUUUCUGCCCGCCAACCGCUUCGUAGUACAGUUGGACCUCAUUUAUGGUCGUCGGCUCAUUGCUUCUCUCCUGUUGCUGUGUUGCUACCUCUUUCAGUUGUACGUAUUUAUCCUGCAUUAUAAAUUUCAAGUAACGUAUUAGUAAAACGAUUUAAGUACAUCAAAAUUGUUAAUAACUACAUUUAAUAUUAACUUACAUAAAUAGCUUUUGACCUAGCAUCAACAAACUCUUCUGUCCCUUUUCUCUUAUGUGUGACCUCGAAAACCUCAUGAGGAUGUGGUUCUCUGCCUAGUCUUUCUCUCUGUUACCAAUUAUAAGAAGUAUAGCAAUUAUCAUCGAAAAAAAAUAUUUAUAAGAAGAUAAAUAUAAAAUAAAAAUAUUUACUAAUACCAUCCUCUGCUAAUGGGUAUACUGUGAAACUGAUCCGCAUGCAUGCCUGGAAAUGCCAGAUCCUGACCCUCCAGCCUCAAUGCGCCUAUUGGUAGAAAACUUGUCACACUUCUCUUUGUAUUCAGAAGUGUUCCAAGUUUUCUGCCACUUCCUCAAAAUAGAAUCUGGUGUAGCCAGAUUCUUCGCCUUCCCUUUCCUGAUUUCCCACAUUAAGCCCCUAUAUCUCUCAGCUGCCUUUUUCUGCCAUGCAAUUUUGACCAAGCUUUCAAUUGCUUGGUCCCAUAUGAAGCAUUUCUGCAAAAAGAUUAAAGUAUAUGAUUAGUUAGUAAUUACACAUUUCAUAUUAUAAAUCAAAAUGCUAAAAGAAUUACGCUUCACCUUGAAUUCCUGCCAAUAAAACUCCUUAGUGUCAUUUGGCACUGUCUUCCAACAGUGUCCUUCCGCGAUCAAUCUUUAUUUUAUUAUCAGAGUAAUCCUGCGACUGCACAUCUCCGACGGAUGUAAACUACAUGAACAACGGUGAGUUAGUAUAGGGUAACAUUGAAAUUAAUCAUAAUUAAAAAAUAAUUAACUAUUACUUGUUAUUAAUGAGUGAAAUGGUCUGUCGGAAUGAAUGUGUGCCGCCUACAGCAGUGGUCGAUCCUGCAGAUGCUGGAGCAGAUGAUAGAGUAGAUGCUGAUGCAGAUCCUGACCAUCUAGCUGAUGCAGUAGCAGAAGGAGAUGCAGGUUGAGGUGAAUGUGAAUGUGAUAUCGCAGGUCGUGGAGCUGGAGUGGGAUGGUGAGGAGCUAGAGUGUGACGGUGAGGAGGUGGAAGGGGACGGGGAGGCAAUGCAUCGGUACAUGGUGGAACUGGUGGACCUAAUAGAUCCCUAUGACAUGGUUGUACACUGGAUGCAAGUGGUACCCAUAUUUGAAGCUCCGUAUCCCCAAGUCCCGUUGAUGCCGUGGUAACUACGGCUAAUGCUCUUGUCCGCCAUCUGCAGUCGCCUCCUCUUGACUUGUACUAGCAGGAAGUCGAACCGGUCCUCUGGGCUUCUUAACCCUUCCACAUCCCCUCAUCUGUGAACAAAUAAAAAAUAGUCAAUGCAAAAAAUAAUAUAAAGUUCAUAAACAUUAAAUUAAAAACGUACAAACAUAGUAAGUUACUCACUGAGAAAUAAUGAAAAUAUACAACUCCAAACUGAUUUAUAAUAUAAAUUAAUUUAGUCCGAUUCAUACGAAUCGAACUCAUUAUCACCAUCUGCAUCUACAUCAGAAUUAGGGUCACUAAGAAACUCAUCUUCAUCUGUCGAAACAUCAUCAUGAAUCUCAGUCAUUCCUCCACUAGGAUCAUUCAGGUAGUGUUGUUGAGUAAUAUCAUCCAGAUUUACUUCAGCGUAAUCAAUCUCAUCUUCUUGAAAAGGUUUAUAUGUCUUUGAAGACGUUUCAGAUACUUCAACAACGGGUCUACCUUUAACUUUCAUCACAGCCCACCAAUCAUUUUUGUCACGACGCUUGCUCGGGUAUGAAGCAUAAACGACCUGUGUUGCCUGAGAGGCUAAUACAAAUGGCUCGUACUUACUGUAUCUACGCUUAUUGUUAACAUCGACUAUUCUAUAAUGUCUAUGCACCUUGGUGCCCGUAUUUAGUAUUGGAUCAAACCAAUCAUAUUUGAAAAGUACAGUCCGCUUAAUUGAUAACACUGGAUACUCCAACCGUAACACCUCAACCAACUGUCCAUAGUAGUCACUUUCUUUAAAACUGUAAUUACUCCCUUUUAUACAUACACCAAAAUUCAUUGACUUACUACUUAAAUUUCCAUUGAUUGUGUUGAAUUUAUAUCCAUUAACACAAUACCCAUCAAAAGUUGUGACACUUCUGAGUGGUCCCUUUGAAAGAUCUUGUAUAAGCUGAUUUUUUACAUUGUUCUGCAAUUCAUGGGCAUACUUGUAAAACCAUUGGCCAAACUCUCUCUCCAGUUUUUCAUCAACAGUUGCAUCUGUGAUAUUUGGUUGUGCCGAUUUUACUUGCUCUACAUAAAUGCUAUACAUACAAAUUAACAAGUAAUGUUUAACAAUAAUGUACAAUAUAAGAGAUAUUACACUAUUAAUAUAACUAACAAUACUUACUCAAUAUAUGUUUUCACCUCUGGACAAUUUAAAAGAAUAUAUGUUUGAGCAGAUUGGCUUUCAUUUUCAGUCAUAUAUCUCGAUUUUCCCUUUCAGAUUGUGCUACCUGUGCAUUUGAAUAUGCUUAAUUUGCUCGGUACAUCAUCAUCGGAAACAAAUUCAUGCAAGUUGCGUGGAACCUUCGAUGUCUGGUCAUUACAUGUGCUUCAAAAUAAUGAGCAGAAAAUGCACCUGCUUCUUCUACCAAGUAAGCAUUGCAUAUUGAACCUUCGACCCUUGCUUUAUUUUUGACAUUGUUCUUUAACUUUCUCAUGUAUCUAGUGUGUGAAAACAGAAAUUAGAAAUGUAUACUAAGUAAAUCAUAAUGCUGAGCAAUAUACGUAAAGAAUUAGUAAGUAUACCUCUCAAAUGGUAUAUCCACUGAUAUUGUACUGGUCCUGCAAUUAAUGCUUCAUAUGCAAGGUGUACUGGUAAAUGUUCCAUUGAAUCAAACAGACUUGGAGGAAAUACUCGUUCAAGCUUACAAAGGAUCACAGGAAUUUGUUCAUUUAACCGUUGCAUGUCCCAAUUAAUAAGUGUAGUUUAAGUAAGUUCUCUGAAGAAAUUGCUAAGCUCUGUUAUUGGUUGCCAAACAUUAUUCGAUAACAAUUCUCUGAAAGCUAUAGGAAGAAUUCGUUGUAUGAAAACAUGACAGUCGUGGCUUUUCAUACUAAAAAGUCUAAGCUUCCGACUAUCAACACACCUCCCUAGAUUGAAAACAUAUCCAUUAGGGAAUUUCAGUGUUUUAAGCCAAUCACACAGUAUCAUCUUUGAUUGCUUGUCCAAACAAUAACUUGCUUUUGGAUAUUUUCCGCUAAUUGGAUCUUUCUUCAAUUCUGGUCUCCUGCAUAUUUCAUUUAAAUCUUCCCUUGAUUUUAUAUUGUCUUUCGUCUUCCUCUCCACAUUCAUCACUGUAUUAAAAAUAUUUUCAAAUACAUUCUUUUCAAUAUGCAUUACAUCAAGAUUGUGGCGAAUCAUAUUUGAUUACCAAUAUGGCAAAUCCCAUAAUAUGCUCCGCUUACGCCAACCAGUUGUCUUUGAAAGCCGACCAUUUAUUUCAUGACUGUCAAUGUCUAUUAUCCGCAUCAACCCAAUUUGCUCAAUUUCUUUUAGCAAGUAUUCCCCAGUUCUAAUUGGCGGCGAUGACUUGGAGACUGUUUGGUUUUUAAUAAAAGAUAUCUUGUUUCGACGGAAAGCAUGGUCGUCAGGCAAAAACUUUCGAUGACUGUCAAACCAUGUUUGUUUACCCCCCCUUUUUAAUGUAAAUGCAUCUGUGUUUUCCAUACAGUAGGGACAUGCAGUGCGUCCUGCUGUGCUCCACCCUGAGAGCAUUGAAUAAGCAGGGAAGUCACUAAUAGUCCAAAGUAAAGCAACAUGCAUAGUAAAAUUGUUCUGCUGGAAAGCAUCAUAAGUAUUCACACUAAUUUUUCAAAGUUCUUUCAAUUCCUUCACUAAUGGUUGCAUGUACACAUCAAGCUUCUCUUUUGGAUUCUUGGGACCAGGUAUGAUAAUUGUCAGGAAUAUGUACUCAUCUUUCAUACACAUACCUGGUGGCAAAUUGUAUGGAGUUAAUAUUACUGGCCAUGAAGAAUACUGUUGCCCAAAUUGACCGAAUGGUUGAAAUCUAUCAGUGCAAAGGCCGAGUCUGACAUUUCGGGCCUCCAUUGCAAAGGUUGGAUGAGUUUGAUUGAAAUGCUUCCAAGCAAGAGCAUUUGAACAAUGAUGCAUCACCCCAUCAUCAUUUGCAUGGUCAUUGUGCCAAGUCAUAUACUUAGCUGUAACACACGAUGUAUAAAGUCUUUGCAAACGUGGUGUAAUGGGAAAGUAAUACAUUUUUUUGUAUGGUAUUAGACUCUUCCCUUUCCCCUUGGUGUGCUUGAGGUGUUUGAACCUUUCAUGGUCACAAAAUUUGCAUCUAGUAAGUUCUUUAUUAUUUUCCUAAUAAAUCAUACAAUCAUUAAAACAACAGUGUAUCUUUUGUACAGGAAGCCCCAAUCCUUGGACUAGUCUCUUUGUUGAGUAAAAGCUGCCCGUCAUGACAUUGUCACUCGGUAACAUCUCCUUCAUAAGUUCACAAAUCUGAUCAAAACACCAUUCUGAGAAAUGAUGUUCUGCCUUCAGAUUUAGUAAACGUGAAACGGCCGAUAACUGAGAGUGAGUUUCACAUUCAGGCCAUAGUUCUUACUUAGAUGCAUUUAACAUUUCAUACAGUUUCUGUGCAGCGGAGUUUGGCAUCUCAUAUGUAUCAUUAUGUAUUAUAUGACAACUUAUUGCAUCCAUGACCAUGUCCUCAAACCGAUUGAAAUUUAGGUGAUUAACACUAUCAGAACCAUAAGACAUGUCUAAUAGUGCAUCACCAGAUCCGUCAUGCACUUCAGUUUCACCGUGCAAAUACCAAGCAAGGUAAUUUUGCACAAAACCAUGCUUCAUUAAAUGAUAUUUAACUGUAUUUUCAUCUUGAAAGCUACAGUUCUGACACUUAAAUCGAUUGCAAGGACAGCGAAUCUGAUCGUCAUUUAAAUAAUAUGGGCAGUUCUUAGCCUUCUCUAUAAAUUCAUUGAUCCCCUCUAAAUAUCUGGGAUUAAGUAAACCAUCUCUGAGACGAGCAUACAUCCAACUUCUUUCAGCAGUCAUAUUAACUACAAUAACGAUGCUGAUAUGAAAACAUAAAACUUAUAAAUCCUAUCUUCGAACAGAGCCUGAAAACCAAUAAUUAAAUUAUGCAUUAUAUCUAAAAUAUGCAGUAAUUAUAUCAAUUUUACUUAAGAGAAUAAUUUAUGCAAAAAAAUAGAAUAAUAAUACAAAAACCUGAAAUACAUGAUAAUUUAAUUACUAAUAUCUUCAUAAUCACGUGUUUAAUUAAUUAUUAGGUCCGCCAAUUUAUUAGAUGCGCCAAAUUAUUUUUGAGAAGUGCACCAAAAUGCACCAGCAGGUGCACUGCAAAAUGCACAUGCUGGUGCACUUGGCGAGUGCAACAGCAGGUGCAAAGGAUAAAUUCAAAAAAAUAUAAAACCUGAAUCAGGUAAAAAAUUUCACAAAAAUCAAGCGGGUGCAGAGGAUAAUUUCACAAAAAAUCAAAAAUUUCAAAAAUAUAAAACAUUUCACAACAAUUUCACAAGAAUGGAGUACAUGCAAGAAAAUAGGGUACCUGUGGACAGUGUCCGUCGAUAAUGGCAAGACCGGAGAGAGAGAGGGCCUCACUCGUGGACCGUGAUGCCGAGAAAGGGCGCACCUGUCGACGGUGGAUGGCGGCAGACCGUGGUUAGCGGCAGCGGUGAAAGACCCAGAGGUUGGACGCAAAUUCGGAUUUCAGAGAUAUUUUGAUUUCCUAAUCACACGAUUUAGGGAUCUCAUUUAGUAUACUGUGUAUUUUGGGUUAAAAUUCACUAACGGAUGAUUAGUCCGUUAGUGAAAAAAACAUUAGAUUAAAAAAUAAUAAAAUCACUUACAGAUUACUAACAGAAAUAAUGUCCGUUAGUAUUUCACUAACGGACUUAUGAUGGAUGGGUACGAGCGUAUUCUUCAAUCCGUUAGUGAAGUCCGUUAGUGAUCAAUUGAAAUCUUGUAGUGGGAGAUAUGGGGUGAAGAUGACGUAUCUCAUAUGUUUAAUUACACAUGUCAAGUUAGUGAUAUGACUGAUAUAAAAAAAUAUGUUAAGAUACUUCGUCGUGUUAAUACGAUAAAUGAGGAUGUUGAUAUUGAUCUCUCUGGAACUGCUCUUGAAUCAAAUAUUGAAUAAUGUGAAGAGCAGAAUUCACUGAAUGAUUAUAAUUUAUCUGAUACUCUUGAAGGGCGAUCGAAUAAUUUAUCUGAUAGAGCAGAGGAUGAUGAUUCAUAGAUAUCUACUGAGGAUGAUGAUGAUGAUGGCGAGGAUAAUGAUUCAUAGAUGUCUACUGAGGAUGAUGAUGAUGGCAAGGAGGAUAGUUUGAGUAGAUAUCAAUACUACAAUACUCAAUUUCUAAUCCUAUUGUGCCUAUUGUUCAUCCUCCCCAUACUCAGAAAUAUAUUUCGAUUUACUACAGUGGAUUCCUAUGAUAAACUAGAAUGUUGUUUCUUUUGGGAUCCAUUUAAAGAGUUUUCAAUUGGGAUGCUAUUUUCUUCAAGAUAUGCAAUGGCUCCGGCUGCAAAAAAAUAUCACCUUAGACGUCAUCAUCAAUUUUGCUACCAUGAAACAAGAGAGAGUACAUAUUCUAUAAAGUAUAAAGACAAAUACAAUGGUUGUGCAUUGAGGCUUCGAGCAUCCAAAAAACAAGAAGAGGAUAUAUAAAAAAUUAUGAGAUAUAAUGGACCACACACAUAUACAAAUCCUCAAUUAUUGAAAAACAAUAGCUAAUUGGAUGAAAAUUUCAUCUAUUCAUUCAUCUUUGCAUUGAUUGAAUAACAGCCUAAUAUAAAAAUUGCAGCCCUACAAGCAGAAGUGUGAGAUAAAUUUGGGUACGAGUUGUCUCAUAAAAAAACAUGGAAAGCAAAGUAUAAGGCAAUUGCAAAGCUUUAUGGGAGUUGAGAUGAAUCACAUAGUUAGUUGCGUAAAUUCAUAACAGCUGUUCAUUAUUUCAAUUGUGAAACAAUAUACAUUAUUAGGAACAACCCACAUUGGAUAGAUGAACAAUUAAAUUUGAUGUGUUGUAUAUUUGACCAAAUGUUUUGGACUUUUAAGCAAUCGAUUAAGGGAUUUAAAUAUUGUCAACCUGCAAUUUCAAUCGAUGAGACAUUACUUUAUGGAAAAUACACCUGGCGUAUAUUGUGUGUAACUGCACUCGAUGGAAAUAAUCAACUUUUUUUUAAAACUUUUGUCAUUGUUAAUAAGAAAGAUGAUGACAAUUAGUCAUGGGUUAUGGACUGCAUAAGGUAUUUGUGACCAAUAGAGAAGACUUAUGUGUAAUUUCAGACCAUCAUGCUGGAAUUAUUAAGACGAUACAGAAAGAUUGGUGGCAACCUCCAGCCGGUCAUCAUCCUUACCAUAUAAGACAUGUAUUGAGCAAUUACAAUAAAACAUUCAAAAAUGCUGCAAUAAAGAAAUCAUUGUGUAGGGCAGAUAGAUGUCAUGUCUUUAAAUACAAUUUUUUUUAUCUAUUUAAUGUCACAUUUUGCUGAUAAUAAUUUUACUUUAAUGAACUUAUAAUUUAUAUCAGCAAAUCAAAAUCAGAAGAGAAAGUUUUAUGAAGCCAUGAACAAUAUUCAGGAGGUGCACCCUGAAUCAUAUGAUUGGACAGUUAAAAUAAAUUUAGCGAAAUGGACGAGAUCACACGAUGGUGGACAAAAAUAUAACAUGAUGACAAUAAACAUUUCUAAAUCCCUAAAUGGCAUGAUGAAAGGAUUUUGAGUGUUGUCUAUAACGACAAUAGUUGAAAAAAUAUUCUUUCAAUAUGUCCAUUAUUUUGAUACAUGACGAACAAUAUUUUUUGAUCAGCAAAGCAAGGAUUUAUUUUCACUCAGACUUGCAGUGAAACUCUUCGUGUUAAUGCAAUUAAAACGAAUGGACAUAGAGUGAGAAGGUUUAAAAGUCAAACAAUGGUUUGUAAAAUAAUUAUUAUUCGGGGUAGGCAAAAACAAGUGGUUAAACUUAUGGAUUAAAUAUGCACAUGUGACAAAUUUCAAGAGACGAGAUACCAUGUUCACAUGCUAUUGCUGCAUGUAUGUCCCAUUCAAUUGACUACAAGCAGUUUGUCUCUGAUUAUUAUAAAUUGGAGUAUAUCAUCCAAUGUUAUGCAUACACAUUCUAUCUUUUUAGACAUCCUAACUAUUGGCCUGCAACAUAUGAACUUCUUCUUGUGCCUGACAUUUCUAGAACAAGGAAGAAGAAACGACCAAAAUCUUCUAGGAUUCAUAAUGAGAUGGAUUGAAAGUCGAGCAAAAUAAAAGAAACGUCUAGAGUCCAUUGUUUAAUAUGUGACAGGGUGGGACAUAAUAAAAAAAUCUGUGUAGGUUGAAAAAUAAAUAGAUAAAUGUUAAUAUUUAUACUUACAGUCACUUAUAUUUUUUAUAAUUAUUAUAAACGUAAUGUAUUUUUUAGUGUUCAUUUAUUUUUAUUGGUAUCUUAUAUUUAUGUUUAAUGGUCGAUCGCUCAUGAUUACAUUUACAGAUUAAUAUGGUCGAUCGCGUUGUUAAAAAGAACAAAUCACACAAGUCAUCCAUAUCAAGAAUAUUUAAGAAUAAUUCAAUUAUAAUAGUCAAAAAGUAUAUAGAUCCUAAUGGCAUAACAUGGUAUGAAAAAAAUAAAUACGUCAGAUUACUCAUGUCUUAAUCGUAGUAAUGCACCACAUAUUUUCAUUGGUUUUCCUUUAAAUUCGUUACAAGAUUUUGGAUAAGUAAUUAUAUCGAGCGUUGAACCUCCAUGGGGAGACUAUGGAAAAUACGUUGUGAGUUAGAAGUAUAUUUUAAUAAAUAUAUUAAAAUAUCUCUAAUGGUUUAAAAAAUUUACUAAUUAAUUUUUUAUUAAUUUUAACAAUUAAAUAUUAUAAAAAGUUUAAAACACUCUCGAUACGGAAAGACUAAUUAUUAACUUUUUUAUAAAAUUAAGAAAUUAAUUAAUAUUUUUUUUUUCAAAUUACAGAAAUUAGAUGAUAAAAUAUUUAAAAAUAAUUAAUUAGUAGAUUUUUUAAAAUGCUAUGAUGGUUUAAUGGAUUUUUUAAAAUUGAGAAGUAAUAGAAUUAAAUAAUAAAUUUUUAUGUAUUUUGCUAUUAUUAAGUAUACAUUUGAUAUGAUAACAAAAAUUAGAGUAGUUGUUAAUGGUAUAUAUUUUUAUGGAGUAAUAAUUAAAUUUAAAAAAAAAAGGUUUAAUAUUAAAAAUGAAUAUAACUGUUAAUCUAUUAAUUUUUUAUGUUUUAUAUAAAAAAAUUAAAAAUAAUUAAAAAUAAUUCAUUUAACUUAAUAAAAUAUCAUUUAGAUGUUAUAUUAUAGAUAAGUAAUGCAAUGAAUAUAUAUUUAUUAUGAAUCAUAUAUUAAUUUAGAGAAAAUUUUAAUAUAAAAUCAAUCAUAAAUAGAUAAAUCCGUAACAAACCGUAUUCUAAGUAGACACCUAUCAUGAUGUUCUUACAAGUGGACAAAUGGUGCGAGAGUAGAGUGCAUGUUAACGGGAAAGUAGCAAUCAAAAGAAAGCACUAGAAUUUAAGUUAUGGAACCCACAAUACGCGUCGUUUUAAAUACAAAUUUUGAAUUUUACAAAAUGGCAAAUAAUGAAAAUGUUGAAUUAAGCGUCAAAGGCCAAACCGAGACUACGUAUUAGAUAAAGUCAAACAAAGUGUGGCGACUGUUGGACAAUUCAACAUUCCUCGCUAUAUAAACGCCUAAUUCUCUACUCAUUCUUCAUCUUCAUCACCAUUUCUAUUCUCUGCCUCUUCACUUCACUCAGCUUCUCUCUCGCUGAUCAGUUUUGUUUUCUCCAGUUUUCCAUCCAUAAUUAAUAAUGGGUUUGAAGGGUUUUGUUGAAGGUGGUAUUGCCUCCAUUGUCGCCGGUGCCUCCACCCACCCUCUUGACCUCAUCAAGGUUCGCAUGCAACUUCAAGGUGAAUCCCACCUCCCCAAUCCAGCUUCCCUUCAAGCCCUCCGUCCUGCCAUCGCCUUCAACACGGUUGCUGCUGGUGCCGGUAAUAUUUCACUACCUGUAGAAAUUGCUCCUCCGCCAGCUCGCGUUGGACCCAUUUCUAUCGGUGUUCGUAUCAUUCAAUCUGAAGGUGCUGCAGCCCUUUUCUCUGGUGUAUCUGCCACUAUACUUCGCCAGACCUUGUACUCAACCACCCGUAUGG
rnacentral:lncRNA from 1 species